UUUAGGGUUACAAGUGUGCCUCCACAGGUACUCCCAUAGCCAAAAUCAAACUUGUGCUUCUCCUGCUUUGUCUUUCCUCUGUUACUCUUUAUGGUUUUGCUCUUUCAGGUUAAGGAGACAAACCAAGCAAAGGGAAAGGUUAAGGAGACAAACCAAGCAAAGGGAAAGGCAAAAAAACUUGUUAACUAGCACCGUGGUUAACACUGUGGGUAUUGUGACUAACACUGUUGCUCUUAUGCAUUAGACUUGUAUCUGCUAUGGCUAGGACUUGUGGUUGUUAAGCUUGUAAUUGUGUUGUUAAGACAUUCUAUUUUUGCCUGUGUUAAGCUUCUAAUUGUGCUAUUAAAACCUUCUAUUUUGUGCCUGUCUUACGCUUGUACUCGUGUUGUUAAGACCUUUUGUUUUGAGCCUUUGUUAAGAUUGUAAUUGUGUUGUUAAGACCUUCUGUUUUGUGCAUGUGUUAAGAUUGUACUUGUUUGUUUUACUCUUCAGUUACUCUUUUGAGAGUUAUUGUAUAGCUUUGUUGUCCUUGAAGAA